rnacentral:tRNA from 1 species
GGGCCGGUAGAUCAGCUCGGAAGAUCGCUCGCUUGGCAUGCGAGAGGCCGCGAGUUCAAAUCUCGCCCGGUCCA